CGAAGGCAGGACGCAUGAGGUGAAAUCCGGCCGGGCGAUGGUUGUCCCGGUCUAAGCAACAAGCCGUUGACGGUGGCAGGCAAAUCCACCACCGGAGGUAAGUUGUUACAGCGAGUGGAGCUACGGCGAAGCGAAGCGGACGUAAUCACGGUGCCGGGAAAUACUGUCUAAGGCCAGGUUAUAGAAGACCGUACCGUAAUCCGACACAGGUAGGUGGGAUGAGAAAUCUAAGGCGCUCGAGAGAACUCGCGUUAAGGAACUCGGCAAAAUGCACACGUAACUUCGGAAGAAGUGUGGCCCCUGUUUGGUUAAAGAGUGGGGGUGGCACAGAGCAGGCCCAGGCGACUGUUUAUCAAAAACACAGCCAUCUGCGAAUCAGCAAUGAGACGUAUAGGUGGUGACACCUGCCCGGUGCUGGAAGGUUAAGAGGAGCGGUUCGAGGUAACUCAAAGCUGUGAAUCGAAGCCCCAGUAAACGGCGGCCGUAACUAUAACGGUCCUAAGGUAGCGAAAUUCCUUGUCGGGUAAGUUCCGACCCGCACGAAUGGUGUAACGAUUCUGGGCACUGUCUCAACGCGAGACUCGGUGAAAUUUAUAUACCGGUAAAGAAGCCGGUUACCCACAGUUAGACGGAAAGACCCCGUGAACCUUCACCGUAACUUAUUAUUGGAUCUUGGUGUAGCAUGUGUAGCAUAGGUGGGAGACUACGAGACGUGGCCGUUAGGUUGCGUGGAGUCGACCAGUGAGAUACCACCCUUGCUACAUCAGGUUUCUAACCUAAUCCGUGAAUCCGGGUUGGGGACAAUGAUAGGUGGGCGGUUUGACUGGGGCGGUCGCCUCCUAAAGAGUAACGGAGGUGCGCGAAGGUCUCCUCGCGCUGGUUGGAAAUCAGCAUACGAGUGUAAAGGCACAAGGAGGCUUGACUGCGAGACUGACAGGUCGAGCAGGUACGAAAGUAGGUCUUAGUGAUCUGGCGGUAGCGAGUGGAAGCGCCGUCACUUAACGGACAAAAGGUACUCCGGGGAUAACAGGCUGAUUUUCCCCAAGAGUUCACAUCGACGGGAAAGUUUGGCACCUCGAUGUCGGCUCAUCGCAUCCUGGGGCUGAAGCAGGUCCCAAGGGUUUGGCUGUUCGCCAAUUAAAGCGGUACGUGAGCUGGGUUCAGAACGUCGCGAGACAGUUCGGUCCCUAUCUGCUGUGGGCGUUGGAUGAUUGAGAGGAGCUGCAUUUAGUACGAGAGGACCGAUGUGGACGAACCUCUGGUGUACCUGUUGUUCUGCCAAGAGCAAGUGCAGGGUAGCUAAGUUCGGAAGGGAUAACCGCUGAAGGCAUCUAAGUGGGAAGCCCACCUCAAGAUAAAUCAUCCCUGGGGGUUCGACCCCCCUAAAGACUCCAGAGAGACUAUCUGGUUGAUAGGCUGCAGGUCUACGCACGGUAACGUGUUCAGCCGAGCAGUACUAAUAGGUCGUGAGGCUUGACCAU
rnacentral:rRNA from 1 species